GACGAAGGAUGCAAGCGUUAUCCGGAUUCAUUGGGUUUAAAGGGAGCGUAGGUGGCCUUAUAAGUCAGUGGUGAAAUCUCGCAGCUUAACUGCGAAAUUGCCAUUGAUACUGUAGGGCUUGAGUAUAGUUGCCGUUGGCGGAAUAUGACAUGUAGUGGUGAAAUACAUAGAGAUGUCAUAGAACACCGAUUGCGAAGGCAGCUAACGAAACUAUAACUGACACUGAGGCUCGAAAGUGCGGGAUCAAACAGG
rnacentral:rRNA from 1 species